UACAGAGGUCUCGAGCGUUGUUCGGAUUCAUUGGGCGUAAAGGGUGCGUAGGUGGCACUGUAAGUCGGGUGUGAAAUCCUGAGGCUUAACCUCGGAACUGCAUUCGAUACUGCGGUGCUUGAGGACUGGAGAGGAGACUGGAAUUCAUGGUGUAGCAGUGAAAUGCGUAGAGAUCAUGAGGAAGACCAGUGGCGAAGGCGGGUCUCUGGACAGUUCCUGACACUGAGACACGAAGGCCAGGGGGAGCAAAACGGGG
rnacentral:rRNA from 1 species